CUCUCUAAACACCAAGCCAGACUCGGGUGAGCUACCAGGGGCUUUUUCCUCACAGGCCAACUGGAGUCUUUGAUUUCACAUCCAGAAGAGAAGUUAGAAGGUCGUAGGUUCAGGUGAAACCUCAGUUUAAAUGAAUAAGCCCCUGGUAAGCUGAUGGUGACCUCCAGUGUCUAAGGUCAUCCGAAGAGCUUCAUCUUAAGCUUUGUGAAGACCUCCCAGGAAGACGGUCCAAGCGGUUCCACAAUCAUAAUUGAAUAUGUGAGCCUGAGACUCCCCACCAGAACUGAUGAAGCCUUCAGAUGACAAGGGAAAGUUCUCCAAAGACCAGAGGAAGUGCUCCAGCUGCUCAGACCACCAACCCAAAGAGGAAAAACAGAGUCUGCCACAAUCCAAGCUGCAGGAGUCUGCUGCCACACCACAGCCUUUCAAUCUGAUCAGCAGCUUCUCGUCUCAUACAGAUCCAACCCUGUAUUUAUGACCGACUUCAGCUGAUUGGUUCACAAGAAAAUGCUCCUCCACCACUGAACGUCUGAACAAACCAGAACACGAUCCGGUUUCCACCAUCAGGGUAGCCGAGUGAGAAGCAGGAAGAACAGAAGUGAUGAUAGAAAACAGAGACGGUACUCACUUUUCUUCUGGCCUUUGUACUGCUGGGCCUUCUUCUUCUGCUUGGGCAGAGAGUGGGACAUCUCUCUGUUGUCUGAAACACAGAGAUGGGACGAGCUCAGGGUAAAUGUCAGAGACUGGACCGGAGCAGACCGAAUGAGCAGAGGGACAGCAGCUUCAUUAUUCAUAUGUUCUCUCCACACUCAUCCCUAUAUCAUAAAGGACUGUGGAGCCAGGCCAAUGGGAGGAGAGCAUGAUGCUUCCAUGUUAACCACAAGGAAUAACAACAUGUACAGGAACUGGGAGAAGAAGGAGGAUCAAUAACGUUGAUUUAUCCCUCAGCGUCUGAGGACCAUCUGCAUGUUUUUAGAAGAACGAUUCAAAAUGACAACUGUUUUAUAGCAGGAACGAAGUUUAACAUUAUAAAAACAAACAUCCAACUCAAAAGAAAGCUAAAGACAGGAAGUGAGGGGCGUUUCGUGUCCACAGCACUCAGUGACAUUUAGAGAGACGUGGGAACAUGUCCGGUUGUUCAAGUGAGGCACUGGUCACCGUCUGGGUCAGGAGUCUGCAACCUGAGGCUCUUUAGCUCUAAUGAAAAAUGCUGAAUAAAUAAGAGAUCAGUUAUUCAA